rnacentral:misc_RNA from 1 species
CUGAACUGUUGACAUGAGUUGUUGCUGGUCCUCAAAUGGGGGCAUGUGCACGCUCUGUUUACAUACCCACUCACACCUGUGCACCCUCUGUAGUUCUGUGGUGUGGGGGACUCUGUCCCUCCUGCUGCGGUUCUAUGUCUUUACAAACACACACAUAGUGACAAAGUCUCAUAGAAUGUAUGACGCGUUUAACGCAAUACAAUA